CUGGCAGCUGCGGGGCUCUGGCUCCAGCUGCGGACUACAGCCCAGAUGGGCUGCCCAGCCCGGAGCACAUGCCCCGGUGACCCGCAGCGUCCAGGCUCUCGCUUUCACCGUGCAGGACAGCUUGCUGGCGGUUGGAGGUUUCGUUAUUCUUGUUUUCCUACAAUUCUGUUGAGCAAUUCACUCAUUUAUCUACAUUUAAAACACUUAAUGAUCAUUUUUUGGAAGUUCUCACUAGGACACACAAGAGCUGAAAACUGUCAACCCAAGAGAGGCCAAACAAGUUUUUGCACCCUCUAGGAGGUACCUCUGCCAGAUGAGAAGGAACAAGGCUGGGUGUGGUUUCCUGUGAUGCCCUAUUACAGGAUCUCACCAUAUAGCUCCGGCUGGUCUUGAACUCACUAUGUAGCCCAGACUGGCAUCGAACUUGCUGUGAUCUUCCUGCCUCAGCCUCCUGAGUGCUGGGAUUACAGACAUCACCAUUAUGUAUAGCUUCUUCAUACUUAUUAGCAUACUUAUUACUCAAGUAUAGAUUAGGACAUUUCCCAUGAUCAGUUUUCUGACUAAUUUUUGGAAAGAAAAAAAAACAGAGCUAUUAAUGCCUCUGGCAAUUAAAUUUGUCCCUUGUAGAUGUGCUUUAAUUUUAACAUGAUCACAGUAUUCUUUCUCGUUUUUAUUUUUCCUAAUAUUUGCAGAGUGCUGCUGAACCAUUUCUAUGGUAGGCAGGGUCCUGAGCAGUUUACAUCUGUUUAAUCUUCUAUUCAGCCCUUCAUUCUUCUUUUAAAGCUGAGUAAUCCCAAGCACAAAGAGCUAAAGCAACUUGACCAAGACAGCAAGAUAAUGAAACCAAGCCACAAAAUGACAACAUCCUUCUUCUUAGACACUCUUCAAGCUGUUUUGGAGGAUGCAGGUGCAGAGCCAUAGGUCCUAACCCAAAGUGACUAUGGGAGCCUGACAGAGAAUCUCCCAGAGUGGAACCUGAGGAUGGAGAAUAAGGUUUUAUGGUGGAUGGACCAGAAUUAUCUAUCUACAAGGUCCCCUGGACCAGCAUGUUGAUGUGAACCAGUUACAAGCAAUCAACCCUGACCUCUGGCUGCUACAAUUCCUUUCCUCCCAGCAAUCCAGGAGACAGAUUUGAGCUUACCUCCUGUCUCCAAGUGGAUUGACCUUCAAUAAAACUCUUUCCUUUUGCAAA
ensembl:lncRNA